AUUUUCCAAGUGACUAGUUCGAACGGUUGCCAAGUCAAAUUAAUUUAAGAAAUAAAUGGUAUUACAACAAGUGUAUUCUGAAAUCUUACAUGUUGAUAUCGUCGUUGACAACGUUUAAUACUAAAAAAUGCCCAAAGUAUACGUAAAUACAUAUAUUGCAGCGUUUUUUGUUUUCCGCAAACCGUUUUGAUUUCUCGGCACCCUUACUCAUCAGAUGCGGCCAUGUUGGUUUUAUUGUAAACGUUCACUUUGGAUGUUGGAAAUUACUCUAAAAGGUUACUUCCGCUACUGGCCUUAAUUAGCUUUGAACGCAAAAUUUCAAACUAACGCGUUGUUAAUUUUUUUCCAUGGUAUAAAUCAUUAGACAAACGUGGUAAACAAACAGAUGUCAGACAGACACUAAUUGUCUUAUAUAAAGUGAUAAUAGAUAGUAGAUUUGUAUAAGGAUAAUAUGUCUUUUAUCGUUCUUGAUAGAGACCAGAUUUCACAUGAACAUAAAAAUGUAAAUUGUAUUUACCUGGGGGAUACUUCUUUCUUCUGAAAAUAUUAAGAUCGUCUAUGGAAAUAUACUCAUGUAGAUAUUUGAUGCCAAGCCAACUGGAAAGUCUAUAUGGAUCUAUUAAUAAAAGCUCUGUACUGUUAUAUUCUUUAUAAAAACAAACAUAUAUUUA